UCCGGUUUGUCACCGGCAGUCUCCCUAGAGUGCCCUUGCGUAGCAACUAGGGACAAGGGUUGCGCUCGUUGCGGGACUUAACCCAACAUCUCACGACACGAGCUGACGACAGCCAUGCAGCACCUGUGUUCCGGUUCCCUUUCGGGCACAACCACCUUUCAGCAGCCUUCCGGACAUGUCAAGGGUAGGUAAGGUUGUUCGCGUUGCAUCGAAUUAAUCCACAUCAUCCACCGCUUGUGCGGGUCCCCGUCAAUUCCUUUGAGUUUUAACCUUGCGGCCGUACUCCCCAGGCGGUCGACUUCACGCGUUAGCUUCGGCACUGAGAAAUCACUUCCCCAACACCUAGUCGACAUCGUUUAGGGCGUGGACUAC
rnacentral:misc_RNA from 1 species